AUACUAUAGAAGUCAAUGGGGCACAUCAACUAUUUGGUUACCAACAUUCUUCAAAAUAUCUUCCUUUGUGUUCAGCAGAAGAAAGAAAUUCAUACAGGUUUGGAAUGAUGACAGAAUUUUCGUUUUUGGGUGAAUUUCAAAACGUACGAAUGAGAUUAGCACCAAUUGUCCAACAAACUGUCAUAAGAGUGUUGAAAUCUUUCACCUUAUUGGCCAACGGUAUGAUACACAAUGGAACAGGUCUGAUCGGGCAUGCCAAUGAUGAACUCGAGGUCCAAGUGCUGGUCCCGGCAUCCAGAGGCCUUUCCGCCCCAAAAUCAGAGAUGAAACAAAAACAAUCAAAGAGAGGUGUUUUGUUUAUUUUUUUAUAGCCAGCUAACAGAACGUAAAGACUGAGAUGUUUUUAUAGCAUGUGUGUAUGGGCUUGUACUCUCCCCCUUGAGUCCGUCCUCCUGGCAAUGAUUCACUCACAGUUUGUGUACUCUUUCUCUAUCCCUCUUUCUCGCCCUUCCUUCCCCAUAUUUCUCCGUUUCUCUAUCCAGCCGGUAAAAAAAAAGAAUAGUAAAGGUCAAAAAAGUGAAAUGUACAAAUGACAACUAUGCUGAUGUAAAGGAACGCAAGCUGGGGGCCCAAAUGUAUGUGCAUUUGCUCACCUCGAGUGCUUGGGUUGGUCCAGGAAGUUUGCGAAUCGCUGACUGGCUCACUUUGAAACCACAACGGCUGUAUGUGACGGGGAUGGUGGGAUUCCAAAGGGUCUUUGAAGCAGGGAGUUGCUGCUGUUGACCCGUACCGCCGGCUCUUGUACCGUUUGGCCUGGAUGUAUCCGUCACCCUAUGCGCCUAUAGCAUGCCCAAGCAUGCCCAGUUCUUUUAUCUCUCUCUUUCUCUUCCUCUAUCAUUCAGUUCUUUACUUUUCCUGGGGGUCUGUUUCUUUAUGAGUUAUAUGGAGAAAUAAUGAAAGUGUUUGAAAGUAA